rnacentral:rRNA from 1 species
AUUGAACGCUGGCGGCAGGCCUAACACAUGUAAGUCGAGCGGGGUUUUCGGACCUAGCGGCGGACGGGUGAGUAAUGCGUAGGAAGCUACCCGAUAGAGGGGGAUACCAGUUGGAAACGACUGUUAAUACCGCAUAAUGUCUACGGACCAAAGUGUGGGACCUUCGGGCCACAUGCUAUCGGAUGCGCCUACGUGGGAUUAGCUAGUUGGUGGGGUAAUGGCUCACCAAGGCGACGACCCCUAGCGGGUUUGUGAGGAUGAUCAGCCACACUGGAACUGGGCACCGGUCGUGACUCCUACGGGAGGCAUCAGUGGGGAAUAUUGGACAAUGGGAGCAAGCAUGAUCCAGCCAGGCCGCGUGUGUGAAGAAGGCCUUCUGGUUGUAAAGCACUUUCAGUAGGGAGGAAGGAUGUUGUGUUAAUAGCACAGCAUUUUGACGUUACCUACAGAAGAAGCACCGGCUAACUCUGUGCCAGCCGCCGCCGUAACAC